rnacentral:rRNA from 1 species
UACGAAGGGGGCUAGCGUUGCUCGGAAUCACUGGGCGUAAAGGGUGCGUAGGCGGGUUUUUAAGUCAGGGGUGAAAUCCUGGAGCUCAACUCCAGAACUGCCUUUGAUACUGAAGAUCUUGAGUCCGGGAGAGGUGAGUGGAACUGCGAGUGUAGAGGUGAAAUUCGUAGAUAUUCGCAAGAACACCAGUGGCGAAGGCGGCUCUCUGGGGUAUUUCUGACGCUGAGGCACGAAGGCCAGGGGAGCGAACGGG